GACGAACGCUGGCGGCGUGCUUAACACAUGCAAGUCGAACGGAAAGGCCCUGCUUUUGUGGGGUGCUCGAGUGGCGAACGGGUGAGUAACACGUGAGUAACCUGCCCUUGACUUUGGUAUAACUUCAGGAAACUGGGGCUAAUACCGGAUAGGAGCUCCUGCUGCAUGGUGGGGGUUGGAAAGUUUCGGCGGUUGGGGAUGGACUCGCGGCUUAUCAGCUUGUUGGUGGGGUAGUGGCUUACCAAGGCUUUGACGGGUAGCCGGCCUGAGAGGGUGACCGGCCACAUUGGGACUGAGAUACGGCACAGACUCAUACGGGAGGCAGCAGUGGGGAAUAUUGCAAAAUGGGCGGAAGCAUGAUGCAGCAAAGCCGCGUGCGGGAUGACGGCCUUCGGGUUGUAAACCGCUUUCGCCUGUGACGAAGCGUGAGUGACGGUAAUGGGUAAAGAAGCACCGGCUAACUACGUG
rnacentral:rRNA from 1 species